rnacentral:misc_RNA from 1 species
UUCUCUGCGACUCUUGUGCACUGCUGUCUUCUCGUGCCGUGUGUGCUGACCGAGGCCAUUCGCCGCCCCUCCAUCUCCCCAUCCCUUGCGUCGUCAGCUCCCGGUCGACGGCGCAUCGCACACAGGGGAGAAGGCUUGUGCACGUUGCGCACCGUAUCUCUCACUUACGCCCCCCCCCCCCCCCCCGCAUUGAGAUAAGGCGAGAGGGACACGCAGGUGCGGUGGCACGCGUAUGUAUGCCGCCUUCACGUGCAUAGGGGGUUGCGCAUUUCGUAACGCAGCGUAAGGACUCGCUUUACGGCCACACACAAGCUCCAGCACACCUCGCGUCCAUGAGGGCGACACGCACGACGAAGGGCCUCGUCGAGGCUGCCAGGCAGUGUCUUGCGGAGGGCACGUUUGCGCCGGAAAAGGCGGCCGAGCUUCUCCAAGCCGCGGUUCAGCAGGACCCCACGUAUGUGCAUGCGCUCGUGCUGCGGUCCACCUUGGCUUCCCGCCUUGGUCACCUAACGUCGGCCCUCGCCGACAUGUCACUCGCAAUCGAGGUGGACAAAGGCAGCAAUGACCCGCGCCGCCUCGCAUCCCUCUACGGGGGUCGGGCAAACCUGUGCUACCGCAUGGGCCGGUACGCGGACGCCGUCACCGACUUGCGCAGCGCGCUGCGGUGGGAGCCGGAUAAUGGGAUGUGGUGCUACGAGCUUGGUCGUGUGCACAUGCAGCAGGGCUGUGUGAGCCUCGCGCAGUGGUGCCUCCAGCAGGCCCUGCAGGAGCCGAUGUGGUCUCGCGUCAACGAGGCUACGCGGCCGAAGGUGUACGCCCUCUACGGCCGCAGCUGCCUCAGAAGCCGCGAGUACAAGAAGGCAAAGAUGCUGCUGGGCAAGUCUGUCGAGGUGGGAGGGGAGGGGCCCGCCUCCGUGCUGCACGACAUGGGACUUGCCCACUACUUCGAGGGCACGUCCCUUGUUCAGGCCGUCGAGUACCUGACGCGGGCGACGGAGAUGGACGCACAAACGCUGGAGUUCCCCAUGCACCUUAGCCUCGCACUCGUGCGCAGGAAGCGGUACGCCGAAGCACUGUCCAGGAUGAAUGAGGCGGUCCUGCGAGGCCAGGAAGAGCACAGCCUUCGGUUCUACCGUGGCUGCAUCGAGAUGGAGUUGGGCAUGGGCCCGCAGGCACUCAUGGACUUGCAAGCAUCUACAGUAAUGGAAACAGCCAGGCAAGAACCGGCGGGAACGACACCGCAGAAGACCGCCGCGCACGCGUGCCUUGCUAUGGGUCUGACUCACAUCUUCUGCGACAAGGACCUCCCCUCCGCGGCAGCGUCCCUUGAGUCCGAGACGUUGCAGCAGACCCGAGAGGUGUCGAUCCGGUUGUACGCUAGUUUGCUGCUCGGGAUUGUGCGCCACGAAGAGGGCGACCGGCAUGCAGCGCUUCGGGCGCUGCAGAACACGCUGCAGGUGCUGAGGGAGACCGCUUGCGCCCACCGCAGCGGCGGCGGCGACGAGGAGCGGCCCUCGCGCAUGAGCGAGCUGCCAGUGUGCGUUGCAGAUGUGGAGAUACUGACACUCACACACCUCGGACUCGUGUAUAGCGACUACGGCUACACCGACCUCGCCGCGCGCCACUUCCGCGAGGCUCGCCAGCGCUCCACCCGGCAUCAGCUCGACGCCGCGCAGAGAGACAUCUGCUUCUUCCGACUUGCUGUGUCGGAGGUGGAAGUGAAGGACCACCUCGGAGCGCUGCAGACGCUGCAAGCCAGACCCUUCAGCGAAGGUGAGCCAUCUAUAAAGACUGCCGACCCACCCUCACCACCGCUUGCGGAGGCAUCCCAGAGUAACUCCACACCUGCAGAGGUGACCGACGCCAAGGAACCUAGCAAUGAGUCGUCGACAGAGCGUGCGAAGCACGAGCCGCACACGGUUCGACCUACUAGUACCUCCCAUGCUGCGUGCCACCGCGUGUUGCCGGGAGAGGUGGAACACCUGCACGCCGUUAUUCUUAGACGACUGGGUCGACUGGAACUGGCGCUCUCCUGGGCGACCGCCGCGAUCGAGGCUAGUCAGAGUGUGGCCGGCCAAACCUCUCACAUCGCCUCCUUGGCUUGUGGCCGAGCUGUGCCGGCCUUUCUUUAUAACCGCGCGCUGGUCUUCUUUUCUCUAGCCCGCUAUGCGGAGGCGCUGGCGGACGUGCAGGAGUGCACUCGCGCCUGCAGCGAGGCCGAGCGCGCAGUGGCGCUCGGUGCUGAGGCGGCUGACCCCUACUACCUGCAAGGUCGCAUCCAUCAUUCCCUCGGUGCGCACAGUGCCGCCCUUGACAGUCUCACUGAGGCGCUGAAGCUCAACCCCUCGCUGCAGCGCACUCCGCCUUUUGCAUAUGCGUAUGGUGUACUGCUCGCGAUUGCGGGGCGACUUAGCGAGGCCCUCGCCGCUUUCACCGCUGCCAUCAUCGCCCAUACCGAGGAGGCUGCUGCGGCGGCCACGGCACGUAGGGAAGAGCACCCGGUGCUGGGUGGUGGGGCGGAGUGCGCGCCGCUUGGAUACUAUCAUGAGCGUGCGAAGAUAUAUCAGCAGCUCGGUAGCUACGCAGAUGCUCUCAGGGACUACAACGUGGUUCUGGGGCGCGCCCCAGGCGCACCGCUGGCAGCGCCUCUUGUAGGCGGCACGUCAACCACGGCGUCCCCCUCGGCGUGGAACGCGCUGGUGAACCGCGCACUCACGCUAAAGGAGCUGAAGCGGUACGACGAGGCAGCGAUGGACUGGGACGCUGCGCUGCGUAGCGAUCGCAGCGGCCUCCUUGCCACCUUAACGAGCCACGACGUGUACGAGCUAUCGUACAUGCACCUGUGCUUACCUGGCGAGGAGCUGACCGCUGUAGCGGUUGAGGAGCCGUCGUAGCGCACCGCCUGCGUGCUCUCCCCGCUCCUUUCUCUGUAUGGGCUGGUGGCGGCCUCUUUUACUGACCUCUGGCCGCGCGCGUCAGCGCACGAUCGGCGAGGCCGUUGUGGCACCUCCCAUGGUGUGCCAAGCCGCCCUUUUCUAGUUCGUGCUCGCGCGUCGCCAUCUCGCUCUCUGUUCUCCAUGUAAACUACCUGUCCGCUGCCUCGCGUCGCUUGCUCGACUUUGCUGAGGUGUGGAACCGAAGCAGCAACACCGAAAGUUUCAUGCGCGCACAGGGUCUUGGGCGUUGUGCAUGCAUCUGCGUGUCGAUCUGUAUCGGUCGUUGCAGACGUACGCGUGUGUGUGACCCUCGCCACCCCCUCCUGCCGAGCCACGCUCGGAUCCUCGCCCGCCUCGCCCCGCUACAGGUAGACAGGCAGGCAGGCGCUUCGCGGACGGAGUUGGAUGCGCAACAACGCGUCUGCGCCCCGCUCGUAGCAAGUGGCGCCUCGGAGAGGCAAAAGAGCUCCUUUCUGUGACCAGCAGACGAACUUCCUCCUCCCAAGGCGCGCCGUUGCAGACGCUAUAAUGACAUGAAGUGCCUUGCGUGUGAUUGGCCCUUCGCACGCCCCCGCGCGACGUGCGCGCCCCCUCGCUCUCACGGCGUGCGGGACGGGCGAACUUUCAC